CCGGCGCGAGCUUGCACGGGGCGAGGAGGGGGCAGCCCCGCGACCCAGCCACGCCGGGAAGCAGGAGACGGGACAGCUGCUGGGCCUUGCUCCACCUGCGCCCCGUCCCCAGCUCUCACGAAACGCAGACUCGGACUUCUGUGGAUUCGAGGGUGCACAUCUUGGCGAUUCCCGGUCAGGGAGGAAGGAGGAAAGAAUUCAAAGGUCUCAGCCUUCUCUACAGUAUGUGGGGCAAGUAAGGGGAACUAAAACACACCCAAGGCCUGGGUCCCUUUUUCUGUCCUCAAAAUGCACCAGUUAACAAGUUAGAGAGAAAGAAAGGGCUGUGUUCUUUGUAUGCAGAAACACCACCCUGCAGAGUGAAAAUUCAGCUCUGUAAAGCUCCUCUAAAGAAAAGAAGCAGCAGCAACAGCAGCAGCAAAGACGGCACCCUGGGCGGAGUCUGGCGAUGAUGAUCUCCAGGGCUGGCCACCGUGGCGAGGAAGGCAUGGACCGUGAAGCCAGUCUGUCCUGGAAUGGAAUUGGCCCUGGCAGGGAGCUUGGGGAAGUCGGCUGAUGUUUCUGGGCCUCAAUGGCUCCAUCUGGAGAAUGGGGUACCGGAGCCUCAUUGCAGCACAGCUGUGGGUACUAGAGAUGUGUUUGUGCAAGAGUUUGUACCCGGGGGCCCUGAGAGGUGUUUUACAAAUCCAGAGCCUUCACCCAUGGGUGCAGGGCACUACCCCAGAUAGAAUUUCAUCCCGGCAGACUGCUCCUGAGCACAAAUAUAUUCUGAAACCUCUGGAAGGGAGCUAAUCACUUUGGAAGUCACAGAGCCUCUGUUCAUGUUAUCAGAGGAGCCUGAAAAAAAAAAAAUGAGGCCCCGGGGAAUGGCAGAGAAUUUUCUAUUUCUUUUCAAAUGGCAAAUUUAUACAUAUGAAAAGUUUAAAAUGACAUGCCAAAUAAAUCACAAGUAGUCAUAAUUGAGCCAGCCACUUUUAUUAUGAAACAAUAAAAUGUGUGAAGUCAGUAGGAUGGAGGGAGAUGGGGGCCAUGUGGCCCUCGUGCAAUUAGGGGGCUGGUAUUUCCUUAAUAGCCUAAGUUGGCAUGGCACGUCGCUUGCCUUGUGGCUUGGAUAACGCAGAACUGGCUGUUUCCAUCGCAGAAAGAGGGUCCAUUUGCUGUUAAGAAUCCUAGGAUAUAUCUAGGAAAAUUCCACUCCCAGAGACUUUAUCAAAUCUCCUUCCUAACAUGUGGGCAGGUGAUUGUCUAAACCACUGAGGAAUGGUGCCGGAGGUAAACAGCUAAUUAAUUAAAGAAAACCUCCCUCUGCACCCUGACUCUGCAAACGCCCUGUGACUGAGACAUGCACACACACACACACACACACACACACUCACACACACACGCGCGCGCAAAUGGUCUCACACACACACAUUGUUAACAAGGCUUGCAGGUGACCGAAUCCUCUAGUCCACCUGUCUCUGCUAAUUCAAGUGAACAAACCUGAAAGCCCAUUACCCUUCCCUCCAAGGCUGUGUGACCUCAACCCCUACACUCUUCUAAGCAACAUUCACUUUAACUUAAUAUUCUGGUGCUUUCGGGAACAACAUUUAAAAAUAAACCAUUUUGGCACAUUGUCAAAGUCUUGUCUACAUUCCUUCAUGACAACCACCCUCAGUGAGAUUUUACAAACCAAAGGGAGUUGGGGGCAGGGAGAAAGGAGUCCCUCAUUUAGA